rnacentral:sRNA from 1 species
AUUAAGGCCCCAUUUCUCCUCCGGGCCGGGUCUUCCAACCGCGGCGGGACCCGUGGGCCCUGGAAACGGACGACGAGUAGAGGCCGGGGAUCCACGACCGCCAGGGCUCGGAACGGGUGAGACACAGUAACCCGGUUGAACUCUGCAUCUGGAAAGCUGAAGACUGAAGAAAGAUAAGAGACAUUGACUAGUCUGGAAACAGGGACAUCUUUGGAACUUCGUUUUCAUCCACAGUAAACUUUUGAAGUGUCAUCAAUUGGAAUUGAUUUCUUCAUCUUAUUCUGCCUAUUGGGAAGAAAAUGGCUUCAAGGAUUUUAAGUUUCCCUUUAGUUUUACAUGAACUUUGUAGGAAACAGAGCCCUUAAAGGGCUUGGGAAUAACAAGAAGAGAUUGAAGACAGAGAAGCUUGCCCUGUUUUCCUUGCCCCUUCAAAGAAAAGGAUUUACAGCUCAAACUUACAACAGCUGUUGUCCAGCUUUAGCCAUCAAGAGAGAAAUAAAUUAAACCACCAUUG